rnacentral:rRNA from 1 species
AUUGAACGCUGGCGGCAGGCCUAACACAUGCAAGUCGAGCGGAUAAAGGGAGCUUGCUCCUGGAUUCAGCGGCGGACGGGUGAGUAAUGCCUAGGAAUCUGCCUGGUAGUGGGGGAUAACGUACGGAAACGGGCGCUAAUACCGCAUACGUCCUGAGGGAGAAAGUGGGGGCUCUUCGGACCUCACGCUAUCAGAUGAGCCUAGGUCGGAUUAGCUAGUUGGUGGGGUAAAGGCCUACCAAGGCGACGAUCCGUAACUGGUCUGAGAGGAUGAUCAGUCAGACUAGAAGUGAGACACGGUCCAGACUCCUGCGGGAGGCAGCGGUCGGGAAUAUUGGGGGAGGGGGGAAAGCCUGAUCCAGCCAUGCCGGGUGUGUGAAGAAGGUGUUCGGAUUGUAAAGUACUGUAAGUUGGGGGGAAGGGCAGUAAGUUCAUACCUUGCUGUAUUGACGUUACCAACAGAAUAAGCACCGGCUAACUUCGUG